AUUGUUUCGAACGUCGACUUUUUCUUUCACGAAAGAGUGGACGGAUCGGUAUUGAGGGUCUUUGCCAUUCACCGUGGCUCCCUCGAAAUGCAUUAGCGCAUCCAUUUGAUAGGCAAGACGGACGAAAGCUCGACUUUUUGUUUCCUCUUUCCUGCCGGGUUUUGAUAAUAUCAGGACUUCGGAGGCAGAGAGGAGACGUGAGCUGGACGCAACGUUUUGCUGGUUGGAGUGCUUCUGAACCCCGCCUUUUUUCCAUUAGGAAAGAGGAAUUUAUUUCAAUU
rnacentral:misc_RNA from 1 species